CCUACGGGUGGCUGCAGUGAGGAAUAUUGGUCAAUGGUCGGGAGACUGAACCAGCCAAGCCGCGUGAGGGAGGAAGGUACAGAGUAUCGUAAACCUCUUUUGUCAGGGAACAAAGACUGGGACGCGUCCCCGGAUGAGUGUACCUGGAGAAAAAGCAUCGGCUAACUCCGUUCCAGCCGCCGCGGUAAUACGGAGGAUGCGAUCGUUCUCCGGAUUUAUUGGGUUUAAAGGGUGCGCAGGCGGUAUGUUAAGUCAGAGGUAAAAGCGCGGGGCUCAACCCCGGCCCGACGUUGAAACUGGCAGUAUCGAGUUGGAGAGAAGUAUGCGGAAUGCGCGGUGUAGCGGUGAAAUGCAUAGAUAGCGCGCAGAACUCCGAUUGCGAGGGCAGCAUGCCGGCUCCACACUGACGCUGAGGCACGAAAGCGUGGGUAUCGAACAGGAUUAGAUACCCUAGUAGUC
rnacentral:rRNA from 1 species